GUAUAUGAGGUGAUUAAUUGGAGGGCAAAUCGAGUGCCAGCAGCCGCGGUAAUACUUGUUCCAAGAGUGUGUAUGAUGAUUGAUGCAGUUAAAAAGUCCGUAGUUUAUUAUUAAGAAGCAAUAUGAGGUGUACUGUAUAGUUGGGAAAGAGAUGAAUUGUGACGUCCCUGACUGGACGAACUGAAGCGAAAGCUGUACACUUGUAUGUAUUUUUUGAACAAGGACGUAAGCUGGAGGAUCGAAGAUGAUUAGAUACCAUUGUAGUUCCAGCAGUAAACUAUGCCGACGAUGUGAUAUGAGAUGUUGUAUUACAUUAUAGAAAUUAGAGUUUUUGGCUCUGGGGAUAGUAUGAUCGCAAGAUUGAAAAUUAAAGAAGUUGACGGAAGAAUACCACAAGGAGUGGAUUGUGCGGCUUAAUUUGACUCAACGCGAGGUAACUUACCAAUAUUUUAUUGUUCGGCGAGGAUAUGAUCUGAGG
rnacentral:rRNA from 1 species